CGAACGGGUGAGUAACACGUAAGCAACCUACCCUAAAGACGAGGAUAACCAUUGGAAACAGUGGCUAAGACUGGAUAGGAAGAUAAAAGGCAUCUUGUAUCUUUUAAAAGACCUAGUUAAUAGGUAUGCUUUAGGAGGGGCUUGCGCCAUAUUAGUUAGUUGGUAGGGUAAUGGCCUACCAAGACGAUGAUGUGUAGCUGGACUGAGAGGUUGAACAGCCACAUUGGGACUGAGACACGGCCCAAACUCCUACGGGAGGCAGCAGUAGGGAAUUUUCGGCAAUGGAGGAAACUCUGACCGAGCAACGCCGCGUGAAUGACGAAGUACUUCGGUAUGUAAAGUUCUUUUAUCGAGGAAGAAAAGCAAAUGGCGAACCAUUUGUUUGCCGGUACUUGAUGAAUAAGCCCCGGCUAAUUAUGUGCCAGCAGCCGCGGUAAGACAUAAGGGGCAAGUGUUAUCCGGAAUUAUUGGGCGUAAAGGGUGCGUAGGCGGUCUAGUAAGUCAGUGAUAAAANNACGACGCUUAACGUUGUCCGGCUAUUGAAACUGCUAAACUUGAGUUAGAUAGAGGCGAGUGGAAUUCCAUGUGUAGCGGUAAAAUGCGUAAAUAUAUGGAGGAACACCAGAGGCGUAGGCGGCUUNCUGGGUCCUAACUGACGCUGAGGCACGAAANNNNGGGGAGCAAACAGGNNNNNNNNNNNNNNNNNNNNNNNNNNNNNNNNNNNNAGUACUAAGUGUCGGGUUAAACCGGUACUGAAGUUAACACAUUAAGUACUCCGCCUGAGUAGUACGUACGCAAGUAUGAAACUUAAAGGAAUUGACGGGACUCCGCACAAGCGGUGGAUCAUGUUGUUUAAUUCGAAGAUACCCGAAAAACCUUACCAGGUCUUGACAUGUUUUUGCAAAAUGAUAGUAAUAUCGUGGAGGUUACCAGAAACACAGGUGGUGCAUGGUUGUCGUCAGCUCGUGUCGUGAGAUGUUAGGUUAAGUCCUAAAACGAGCGAAACCCUUAUCGUUAGUUGCCAGCACGUUAUGGUGGGGACUUUAACGAGACUGCCAAUGAUAAAUUGGAGGAAGGUGAGGAUCACGUCAAAUCAGCAUGCCCCUUAUGACCUGGGCUACAAACGUGAUACAAUGGCUGUUACAAAGGGCAGCUGAAACGCAAGUUCUUGGCCAAUCCCCAAAAACAGUCCCAGUCCGGAUUGAAGUCUGCAACUCGACUUCAUGAAGUUGGAAUCGCUAGUAAUCGCGAAUCAGCAUGUCGCGGUGAAUACGUUCUCGGGGUUUGUACACACCGCCCGUCAAACCACGAAAGUUGGCAAUACCCCAAAACGGUAGCCUAACUCGUUUAUUCGAGAGGGCGCCGUCUAAGGUAGGGUCGAUGAUUGGGGUUAAGUCGUAACAAGGUAUCCCUACCGGAAGGUGGGGAUGGAU
rnacentral:rRNA from 1 species